rnacentral:rRNA from 1 species
GACGAACGCUGGCGGCGUGCUUAACACAUGCAAGUCGUACGAUGACCCGGCUCUUCGGAGCUGGUGAUUAGUGGCGAACGGGUGAGUAACACGUGGGUGACCUGCCCUGCACUCUGGGAUAAGCCCGGGAAACUGGGUCUAAUACUGGAUACGACCAGUGGCCGCAUGGUCUGCUGGUGGAAAGCCCUUCGGGGUGGUGUGGGAUGGGCCCGCGGCCUAUCAGCUUGUUGGUGGGGUGAUGGCCUACCAAGGCGACGACGGGUAGCCGGCCUGAGAGGGUGUCCGGCCACACUGGGACUGAGACACGGCCCAGACUCCUACGGGAGGCAGCAGUGGGGAAUCUUGCACAAUGGGCGAAAGCCUGAUGCAGCGACGCCGCGUGAGGGAUGACGGCCUUCGGGUGGUAAACCUCUUUCGGCAGGGAACAAGCCUGGGGGUUGUCUUCUGGGUGAGGGUACCUGCGGAAGAAGCACCGGCUAACUACGUG